UUAUCGUCUGUGGUGUCCUAGCUUAUUUCGUUCAGUUCCUCCGUGUCGAUGUUAAUUUAACAUCUGUUUGGGGAGUUUGUCUGUCAGUGUUGCAUUUUGAAGUUUCAAUUUGUUUCUAAUGUUUAGUUUGUGUGCCGGUUUAAAUGCCAUAAUUUGGAACUCUUGUCUGGUUUGAACAAGAUGUAAUCGUCUUAUGGAUGAAAUGAUUCUUUGUGGUCGGUGCUGUCUA
rnacentral:lncRNA from 1 species